rnacentral:misc_RNA from 1 species
GAUAAGAACGCAGCGAAAUGCGAUAAGUAAUGUGAAUUGCAGAAUUCAGUGAAUCAUCGAAUCUUUGAACGCACAUUGCGCCCCUUGGUAUUCCGAGGGGCAUGCCUGUUCGAGCGUCAUUAUAACCCUCAAGCUCAGCUUGGUGUUGGGGCCUGCUGCACUGGCAGCCCUUAAAAUCAGUGGCGGCGCCAUCUGGCUCUAAGCGUAGUAAUUCUUCUCGCUAUGGAGUCCUGGUGGAUGCUUGCCAUCAACCCCCAAUUUUUCUAUGGUUGACCUCGGAUCAGGUAGGGAUACCCGCUGAACUUAAGCAUAUCAAUAAGCGGAGGA